rnacentral:rRNA from 1 species
AGAUUGAACGCUGGCGGCAUGCCUUACACAUGCAAGUCGAACGGCAGCACGGGAGCAAUCCUGGUGGCGAGUGGCGAACGGGUGAGUAAUAUAUCGGAACGUGCCCAGUCGUGGGGGAUAACGCAGCGAAAGCUGUGACUAAUACCGCAUACGAUCUAUGGAUGAAAGCGGGGGAUCGCAAGACCUCGCGCGAUUCGGAGCGGCCGAUAUCAGAUUAGGCUAAGUUGGUGGGUAAAAGCCUACCAAGGCGACGAUCUGUAGCUGGUCUGAGAGGACGACCAGCCGACACUGGAACUGACGACGACGGUCCAGACCUCCGUACGGGAGCAGCAGGUGGGUAUUUGGACAAGUGGCG